rnacentral:rRNA from 1 species
UACGAAGGGGGCUAGCGUUGCUCGGAAUCACUGGGCGUAAAGGGUGCGUAGGCGGGUCUUUAAGUCAGGGGUGAAAUCCUGGAGCUCAACUCCAGAACUGCCUUUGAUACUGAAGAUCUUGAGUUCGGGAGAGGUGAGUGGAACUGCGAGUGUAGAGGUGAAAUUCGUAGAUAUUCGCAAGAACACCAGUGGCGAAGGCGGCUCACUGGCCCGAUACUGACGCUGAGGCACGAAAGCGUGGGGAGCAAACAGGAUU